GUUUUUGUAGUAUAAUUAAGUAUUGGGGUUUUCCAAACCUUAGGUUUUCGGGUGAAGCAAGAAUA
rnacentral:tRNA from 1 species